AGUUCGAUUCUGGCUCAGAUUGAACGCUGGCGGGAUGCUUUACACACAUGCAAAGUCGAGUGGCAGCACGGACUUCGGUCUGGUGGCGAGUGGCGAACGGGUGAGUAAUGUAUCGGAACGUGCCUAGUAGCGGGGAUAACUACGCGAAAGCGUAGCUACUACCGCAUACGCCCUUCGGGGGAAAGCGGGGACCUUCGGGCCUCGCACUAUUAGAGCGGCCGAUAUCGGAUUAGCUAGUUGGUGGGGUAACGGCUCACCAAGGCGACGAUCCGUAGCUGGUUUGAGAGGACGACCAGCCACACUGGGACUGGACACGGCCCAGACUCCUACGGGAGGCAGCAGUGGGGAAUUUUGACAAUGGGGGAACCCUGAUCCAGCCAUCCUCCAAGCGUGUGCGAUGAAGGCCUUUGCCGUAGCACUUUUUGGCAGGAAAAAGAAACGGCACGGGAUAUCACCCCGUGCAACUGACGGUACCUGCAGAAUAAGCACCGGCUAACUACGUGCCAGCAGCCGCGGUAAUACGUAGGGUGCAAGCGUUAAUCGGAAUUACUGGGCGUAAAAGCGUGCGCAGGCGGUUCGGAAAGAAAAGAUGUAAAAUCCCAGAGCUUAACUUUGAACUGUAUUUUAACCGUCGACUUGAUGCGGCGCCGAGUAGGCGUAACCCUGCAGCAGUGAAAUGCGCAGAGGCGAGGAACACCGAUGGCGAAGGCAGCCUCUGGGAUAACACUGAUUGCCCAUGCACGAAAGCGUGGGGAGCAAACAGAUUAGAUACCCUGGUAGUCCACGCCCUAAACGAUGUCAACUAGCCGUUGGGGCCUUCGGGCCUGGUAGCGCAGCUAACGCGGUGAAGUUGACCGCCUGGGGAGUACGGUCGCAAGAUUAAAACUCAAAGGAAUUGACGGGACUCCGCACAAGCGGUGGAUGAUGUGGAUUACCCGAUGCAACGCGAAAACCUUACCUACCCUUGACAUGUCUGGAAUCCCGAAGAGAUUUGGGAGUGCUCGCAAGAGAACCGGAACACAGGUGCUGCAUGGUUGUCGUCAGCUCGUGUCGUGAGACGUUGGGUUAAGUCCCGCAACGAGCGCAACCCUUGUCAUUAGUUGCUACGAAAGGGCACUCUAAUGAGACUUGCCGGUGACAAACCGAGGAAGGUGGGGAUGACGUCAAGUCCUCAUGGCCCUUAUGGGCAGGGCUUCACACGUCAUACAAUGGUCGGGACAGAGGGUCGCCAACUCCGCGAGAGGGGGAGCCAAUCCCAGAAACCCGAUCAGUCCGAUCGCAGUCUGCAACUCGACUGCGUGAAGUCGGAAUCGCUAGUAAUCGCGGAUCAGCAUGUCGCGGUGAAUACGUUCCCGGGUCUUUAAAGACACCUCGCCCGUCACACCAUGGGAGUGGGGUUUACCAGAAGUAGUUAGCCUAACCGUAAGGAGGGUAUGAUUACCACGGUAGGAUUCGCGACUGGGGUGAAGUCGUAACAAGGUAA
rnacentral:rRNA from 1 species